rnacentral:rRNA from 1 species
AACGCGAAGAACCUUACCUGGGCUCGAACGGCUCACGAACGUCCUUGGAAACAGGGAUUUCCCGCAAGGGACGGGAGUCGAGGUGCUGCAUGGCUGUCGUCAGCUCGUGUCGUGAGAUGUUGGGUUAAGUCCCGCAACGAGCGCAACCCUUGUCCUGUGUUGCCAUCAUUAAGUUGGGAACUCGCAGGAGACCGCCAGCGAUAAGCUGGAGGAAGGUGGGGAUGACGUCAAGUCCUCAUGGCCUUUAUGUCCAGGGCUACACACGUGCUACAAUGGCCGGUACAAUGCGCUGCUAAGUCGCAAGACGGAGCCAAUCGCAAAAAACCGGUCUCAGUUCGGAUUGCAGGCUGCAACUCGCCUGCAUGAAGCUGGAAUCGCUAGUAAUGGCAUAUCAGAACGAUGCCGUGAAUACGUUCCCGGGCCUUGUACACACCGUACGUC